CUCACUCACUCAUGGCCUCCUCUCCCCUCUCCCUCUCUCUCCUCCUCCUGCUCGUCAUCUCCAUCUCCAAUGCCGUCCCAACCCCCAGCCGACCCAGAGGCAAAACCAACAUCCCGGACGUUGACAAAUACAACGAGGAUCAGGUCGGAGGCAAAACGGACAUCCCGGACGUUGCCAACAACACCAAGGUUCAGGACCUCGGUCGCUUCUCCGUCGAGGAGCACAACAAGAGCGUCCAGAACGCCACCCCCCUCUCGUUUGUUCGCGUGGAGAAGGCACAGUAUCAGAUAGUGGCCGGCACCAAUUACUUCCUCAGCCUCGCCGCCACCGACGGCCAGAGCAAGGAGGGGAAGUUCGAUGCGCAGGUGUUUGUACCGCUGGGUCCCAACCCGGCCAAGAAGCUGGUCUCCUUCACCCCCUCGAAACCGGGCCAGUAGGGGACCGGUCUCGGUAUCGGUUUGUGCGGUAUUAUGAUAAAUAAUCAGUGUGUUUGUCUGUUAAGAAAGGUGUGUCUGUCGGUUAAGAAUGGUGUGUUUAAUUUAUGUAUUAAAUGAUGAAUUGAUGGUAUUUGGAGUUCU
rnacentral:misc_RNA from 1 species